CUGGAUUCGUGGAGGCGCAGUCGAGCUGCGGGAGAAGCGUGGUGAGCUGAUCAGCACAGGUGACCAUGCAGUCCCAGAAUCGCAAAAGAGCUCCAGCAUGGACCGAACAGGAGGUACUGGAUCUGAUUGCUGUAUGCUAAAGAAUCCGCGCAGGCAGAACUCCGUUCCAAAAGAUGAAAUGCCAAUAUAUUUGCCAAAAUCUCCAAGGGCAUGAUGGACAGAGGCUACGACAGGGACAGAGCAGUGCCGCGUGAAAAUUAAGGAGCUCAGGCAAACCUAUCAAAAAAACAAAGGAGGCAAACGGUCGCUCUGGGUCAGAGCCCCAUACGUGCCGCUUCUGUGAUGAGCUGCAUCCAAUUCUGGGAUGGGGCCCUACCACUACCCCACCACUGUCUGUGGACACCUGCAAGGGAGGAGUCUCACGCAACAGGGAUGAGGAUUUUGUGGAUGAGGAAGAUGAGGAGGAGAUUGAGGAUAGCGCACAGCAGGCAAGCGGAGAAUCCCUUCUCCCCAGCAACCAGGAACUUUUCACCAAUACCCUCCCAAGGCAGGCUCCUGGACCAUGAACCCGGAGAAGGUACCUCUGCUGCAAAUGUUUCUACGCUCCCCCUAUCAUCUCCAUCCCAGAGGCUAGUGCAGAUUAGAAGGCAAAAAAAACACAUUCGCUAUGGCAUGUUCAGAGCUCAUGCAGUCCUCCCGCACUGAAAGAGUUCAGCAGAAUGCUUGGAGGCAAAGAAUGGCAGAGUCCAGGAAAGCGUUAAAUGAACACGAUGAGAGGAGCACAAUGAGAGGAGGCAGGAUGCAAUGCUGAGGCUAAUGGGGGAGCAAACUGACAUGCUCAGGCGUCUGGUGGAGCUGCGGGAAAGACAGCAGGAGCACAGACUGCCACUGCAGCCCCUGUAUAACCGCCUGCCCUCCUCCCCAAGUUCCAUAUCCUCCUCACCCAGAUGCCCAAGAACGCAGGGGGGAGGCUACGGCACCCAGCCACUCCACCCCAGAGGAUUGCCCAAGCAACAGAAGGCUGGCAUUCAAUAAGUUUUGAACUGUAGUGUGGCCUUGUCCUUCCCUCCUCUCCUCAUCCAGCACCCCACCCGGUGCUUCCUCCCUCACCCACCCCUCCUGGGCUACCUUGCGAGUUUUCUCCCUAUUUGUGUGAUGAAUUAAUAAAGAAUGCAUGAUU